rnacentral:lncRNA from 1 species
UUGAUCAAGCAGUAUUGUCCCCAGUGGGUCUCUCCUUCCUUUAGGAUAUUUGCUCCGAGUUAGCAACUUUAUCCUCUUUUGAUCAGUCACCUUUGCAUACCUAGUCUGGUACCCCGAUGCCUUUCUUUUCGGUCGUUUAUCCAUCUAACAACCAAUCCGGUUAUGGAUAAUCUUCCAUGCGAGUAUGUUAUCUACGUUUUGACGGCUAUAGAUAAUAUAUCUCAUGCACUCUCUGGUCAGUCUUUUGAUUGUUUUCUCCAGCAGAGUAAGAUUCGUAUUCCUUUGUUCGGAAUCGAAUAUCCGUCCUUUAACAAGUUUGCCUUUGCUCUCUUCAGGAUGAUGUCGGUCGAUCUAUCCAUUUAACAACCAACCCGGUUAUGGAUAAUCUUCCAUGCGAGUGUAUUGUCUACGUUUUGACGGCUAUAGGUGAUAUGUCUCAUGCGCUCUUGGGUCGAAGUCGUCCUCCCCAGUCGAGUAAGAUUCGUAUUCCUUGUGGAAUUGAAUGUCCAUCCUCUAACAAGACUGCUUUUCUAGCCCUCUUCAGGAUGUUGAGUGUUUUGGAAUACAUACCAAUUCACGCUUUGGUCGGUCACCCGUUUCGUACCUACAACCCGGUAUCCUUGGUGUUCCUUCCUGUUUGCUCGCUGUAGUGACCUUGUUCCCCAGUGAGAUCCCCUGCAAGUGUGUAGCCUUGCCUAGACAUGCAAAUGGCAGUCUCCCGUCAGCACCCGCGUGUGUUCUUCUUUGGUGUCGGUAAACAUCAUCUUUCGAUGUUCGUAACGUCGUCCCUUCCCUAGUGAAGUUUCCUCCUCUCCGUUGGUGUCGAUAAACGUCGAGUUUUUCCUGUGCGUCCUAUGAUGUAUAGUUGAUUGUCCCCCGCAGAUCAUUUGGUAAUACCAGAUGAUUCCCCUCAGAAUAUUACUCCUCUCCGUUGGUGUCGAUAAACGUCGAGUUUUUCCCAAUUAUCCGUUGAUGAUUUGGUUGUGUUCACUCUCCCCUAGUGAAGGUUCCUCCUCUCCGUUGGUGUCGAUAAACGUCGAGUUUUUCCCAAUUAUCCGUUGAUGAUUUGGUUGUGUUCACUCUCCCCAGAAGAGUUCCUCCUCUCCGUUGGUGUCGAUAAACGUCGAGUUUUUCCUAUGCGUCCGUUGGCGUAUAGUUGAUAUCUUUCCCCACAGGGUCGUCCCC